rnacentral:tRNA from 2 species
GGAGGCGUCGCAUAGCGGUCUAGUGCGCACGCUUGGAAAGCGUGUGUGGGUCACACCACCGAGAGUUCGAAUCUCUCCGCCUCCGCAA